rnacentral:lncRNA from 1 species
GUUAUCAGCACAGCAAACCCCAUACAAGGCUGUGCUUACCCUCUCCACUGACGGGGAGCUCAUUAUCUUACAAAGCCCUUGAAGCUUUUGGGCAGCUUGAAGGUUUGGGCAGCCCCUAACCCUCCGCAGCCUGCAGCUCUGCAGAGGCCCACAGACCAGGAUGGCAUCCCUGAGGGCAUCUUCCCUCCCAUCCAUCCCCUCCCCCAGUGCCCUGAGCUUGGAAGACAAGGCACUUUGCCAUCAGUUAGGACCUCUGAGCAUUGUUUCCCCCUCAUGCCUCCUCUGGGCAGGACUCCUGGUUUCUCUAUCUGGAAAGGCCAGCAUCUGCCACAGAGCACUCGGCCCAUGGAAGCCGAAGGAGGGGGAACCAAGAGCAGGAGAAGGGGCGUGCUGGGGCACUCUAUCUCAGGCUGACGGAGACCCACUAACCAUUGUCAAGGCCACUGGGGCAGGUCCAGCCCAACUGCUCGAACUGGAGGCAGGGGAUGAAGGUUCGGAGAAGGUGACAGCAGGACAAGGUGGACAUCCCCAGCAGCCCCCUGAAGAAUCCAGACACUUCUAUGGCUCCUGAGCCUGGCAUCACCUUCGGACUUUGGCUUUCUGGUCUUCCUCGACUCAUGCCCUCAUUGUUGACCCUGUUAUCUGCUUCUAGAGCUUCUAGAACAGAGACAGAGCUCACACUUACCCAAGCAGAGCCAUGACCAGCCCAGCCAGCUCAGACGUAUGUCCCCUCCCUCCCAGUCAAAACACAGCCUAAUACGGAUCCUAACCUGGAAGGUCAGCAUCCAGCCCCUCCUCU